UACGGGGGGGGCAAGCGUUGUUCGGAAUUACUGGGCGUAAAGGGCUCGUAGGUGGCCAACUAAGUCGGACGUGAAAUCCCUCAGCUUAACUGGGGAACUGCGUCCGAUACUGGAUGGCUCGAGUUUGGGAGAGGGAUGCGGAAUUCCAGGUGUAGCGGUGAAAUGCGUAGAUAUCUGGAGGAACACCGGUGGCGAAGGCGGCAUCCUGGACCGGCAUUGACGCUGAGGCGCGAAAGCCAGGGGAGCAAACGGG
rnacentral:rRNA from 1 species